CACGGGAGGCGCUUGACGAAUC
rnacentral:miRNA from 1 species